CAGGCAAUGGAAUGCAAGCCUUGACUGUGCCAUGAGCCAGCUGGCCAGGACUGAGUGCCAUGUAGUUGCUGCAAUGUGCCUGGCAGGCUCAACAUUGUAGGGAAAGUUUGUUAGUUCUGCUCGCAAAAUGCUGUUCUAAUGUAUGUCCUAAUCUUGCUUCAAUUUUCUUAACUACUAGCUAAACCACUUUAGCGCAAAGCACUUUUCUAGAAGGUCAGCUCAGACUUUUCUGUGUAAAAGGGUAAAAACUGCACGGGUUCCACUCAGCAAAAAGACAGGUUACUGUACAAAGUCAUUAUCUGGAAUUUACAAUUUUGCUGAACCAAACAGAAGAAGUGGCAAGUACAACAAAAAGAUACAGGUGUUCACCUUCAGCAAGAGCCCCAUAACACAGCAGAAUAACAAGAGAACCUGCUGUCUUACUGACAUAACAAGGUACAUUAGUUCUGAUGAAGAAGAAUGUUAUUCCUCCUGAGAUACGAGAGAGCAAUAUAGAAAACUAUGGACAAUGAGACAAGGAAUCACUUAUUACAAGUAGUCUUCUGAAAAUAAGCAAUUAACUGUUCUUCGAAACUAACUGAUGGGCUUCCUUCUUGUUCCAAAACAGUUCUACUUACUUCCCAUGUAGUCACAAUCCUCUGUAAUGUAUUUCCAAAUUCUGGCAAGGAUUGAUUUAAAAUAUCAGAAAAAAAACUCAAAACAGAACAAAGUCCUGUUUAAAAUUUAAAAGAGCCACAAAUGUUUGUUGCAUUAUUUAGAUUUAAUCUUACACAAACAAUAGACAAAUUUAUACCCUAAAGCACUUAAAUUUUUUGGGAGUUGAGACAGGGGAGGCAAAUGAAAUAGUGUGCA